ACAGCCGUUGCACACGAGUCAGUCGAUCCUAAGCCCUAGGAGAAAUACCGAAGUCGAUGAGCGAGUCUGAUCAUUUUAAAGAGCAUUUGUGAAGACCGCCGUCGGGCGAAAGGGAAUCCGGUU
rnacentral:rRNA from 1 species